GCUUCAGCUUUGGUGAAUGGAAGGGCCUUCCUCCUGCCUCCACUUUCAUGGGGUGAGAAACCAGAGCAAGCUGGGGUUCCCAUGGAAGCACCACAUAGGUUUCUGUGCUCUGCUCGCUCAGCUGUAGAGGAACUUUGUGUUCUCUCAACCUUCUCCUUAGAGGUCCCAAAUCCUUCAGCGCCUCCUGUGUUGCUCCUUCCACCUGGACUCAGGCUCAGGUGUACAGUUCAGCUGCAUUGAGUACAUUCAUGUUGUUGGGCAACCAUCACCACAUCCAUCUCCAGAACUUCUUCCUUGCAAAACUGAAACUCUGUACUCAUUAAACAGCAACUCUCCAGCCCCUGGUAACCAGCACUUCACUUUCUGCCUCUGUGAAUUUGACUACUGUAUGCAUCUCCUAUAAAUGGAAUCAAACAGUAUGUGUCUCUUUGUGUCUGGUUUAUUUAUUUAACUGAGCAUAAUGUCUCGAAGGUCCAUCCACGUUCUUGCAUGUGUCAGGAUUUCCUUCCUUUUUCAGACUGAAUAAUA